CCACAGCCCGGAAACUAACGGUCCACCUGCGCCCUCCUGCCUCUUGUGACCUUGAGAUCUCUCUGCGGGGGGUCAAGCUGAGUCUCAGUGGAGGAGGACCUGAGUUCCAGCGCUGCAGCCACUUCUUCCAGAUGAAGAACAUCUCAUUCUGUGGUUGUCAUCCCCGAAACAGCUGCUAUUUUGGCUUCAUCACCAAACACCCGCUGCUAAGCCGCUUUGCCUGCCACGUCUUUGUGUCCCAGGAGUCUAUGAGACCAGUGGCGCGGAGCGUGGGCCGGGCCUUCCUGGAGUACUACCAGGAGCACCUGGCGUUUGCCUGCCCUACAGAGGAUAUCUACCUGGAGUAGCACCCACCUCCCUCAGCUCCCGUCUACACAGCUCUGAGUAUCUCAAGGCCACUGUGGCUUGAGCAAGGACUGGACCGGGGACAUUUGGAACCUUACGUUGUGGGAGUCUCUGGGCUGGGAACUUUUCUCCUUUAUCCCCAGGUCAUGGCUUUUGGGAGCUGUUUGGGGAGAGGAGCCUCAGCAGCCAUAUUUUUCUUCCGAUGCAUCUUUUUCUCUCCUGUCCUCAUUUGUCCCGUUCCCUCCGACGGCCUUUCCUCUGUCUCUCGUCCCCUCUCUGUGCCUGUAGACCUUGCUCUUUGCUCUCUCUUUGGGAGGCAGAACUUGAGGGAGGGGAGUAGGCUUAAGGUAACCGAUGAAGUCAGGUUCCUCCCAGUGGUUCCCUCCUGCCCUUCUCUUGUGAUUUAUAAAUGAAUUUUAAUUUUUAUAGUGAAUCUCAAGGGAUCAUCCCACCUUUGAUCACAGGAAGGGUUCCUAGCCCCCAAACUCACAAGGAGCUCAGGAAGGAGGGGGAGAGGGGUUUCUAAGAGAACCCUAGGGUAACUAGGUGGUUCUUGAUGCUCACCCAAAGCCCCCAAUGCUGCUAGGAGGAGGGCACCCCCCAAAGGGUGCUCCACACAGGUCAUCUGCUUUUGCCGCUAACACCCCUUCAGUCCAGCGAGUGAGUAUCUGCCCUGCGUGCUGCCACCUGCUGUGUACGUGGGCCCUGCCCCACGGCAUCAAUAAACUCUGCUUGGUGUGA